GCACUUAUCACUCACGGAUAUCAGAAGCCCGUAUCACACCUCCCGCCCGUCCCUGCGCCAGUCCCGCCUCUAUAUAGGAGCCCGAUACCUCCUCACAGACGGCGGGCUGACAGGACGUCCACACAAGAACCAUGAAGUUGUUCCCGGUGCUGCUGCUGUUUUCGAUGUUGGUGCUGCUGCCGCAAGUCGAUUCAUUCAGUUGGAGACCAGCAAUACAACUGGGUCGCAAGUACUUGCCCAAAAUACAUCGGGGGAUAAAGGCCGGGUGUAAUUUUUACAGGAAGUACGUCGGCCGCCAAGCAGAGCUCCUGGACACGAACAAAGAUGGCCGCGUGGACAGGUCCGAGGGCCGCGAACUAUCUUGGAGUGGAUCACGAGGACGAAGAACUUCACGACUUCAUGAACAAGGCUGAUUUCAAACGCGACGGCAUCGUGGACUUGGACGAGUUCCUAGACGCCGCCAUCAUGGCACAAGCCCAGAAGGAACAUCUUGAUUGAGGACCGGAACACAUUUAACAUCCAUCUGUAUCAACGCACACGCCAAUAUUCAAUAAACUCUCUUUCCGUUUAA